rnacentral:rRNA from 1 species
UACGGAGGUUGCAAGCGUUGUUCGGAAUAACUGGGCGUAAAGGGAGCGCAGGCGGUUUGGUAAGUCCAAAGUGAAAGCCCGGGGCUUAACCUCGGAAGUGCUUUGGAUACUGCCUUACUCGAGUUCGUGAGAGGAAAGCGGAGUUCCAGGUGUAGCGGUGAAAUGCGUAGAUAUCUGGAGGAACACCGGUGGCGAAAGCGGCUUUCUGGCGCGAUACUGACGCUGAGGCUCGAAAGCGUGGGGAGCGAACGGGAUUAGAUACCCCGGUAGUCCACGCCGUAAACGUUGUGCACUAGGUGUAGGAGGUAUCGACCCCUUCUGUGCCGCAGCUAACGCAUUAAGUGCACCGCCCGGGGAGUACGGUCGCAAGACUGAA